UUGGAUAUGAACAUUUUAGUUUUCAGGAUAUUCAAAUGAUGUUAUAUAUUUAAAUAUACAAUUAGAUAAAUUUUGAAUAUUACAAAAAAUACAAACUGGUUGGCACUAUGCCCAAGAUAGGCCAAGAUAAUAAACAAAAAUUUUUUGAUGAUGAUGAAGAAAAUAAAAUUGUUGAAUAUCUAAUUGCAUGUAGUAAAACCUUUUAUGGUUUAUCCGUUAAAAAGAUAAAAAUUCAAGCAUAUUAUCAUGCUAUUCAAUAACAAAAAAAUACCAAAAUCGUGAAGAAUGGUUUUCUUCAUUUAUGAGAAGAAAUCCAAGAUUAUCUCUAAGAUCUCCGGAAGCUACAAGUUUAGCUCGAGCGGCUGGUUUUAAUCAAGAGGCUGUUCUAUAUUUUUUUAAUCUUUAUAAGGGAAAACUAGAUAAAGAAGAAUUAAGACCUAUGUCAAUUUACAAUAUGGACGAAACAGGAUUGACAACUGUGCAAAAUCCAUCAAAAAUUGUUGCGCAGAAGGGUCAGAAACAAGUCGGAUCCAUCACUUCCGCAGAGCGAGGCACUCUAGUAACAAUGGCGCUGGUAACGCUUUAGGGAAUUAUAUUCCCCCGAUGUUUAUUUUUCCGCGUAAAAAAUAUUAUAAUCAUUUUGGAGACGGUCCUCAGGGAUGUAUUGGCGCAUCCAACGGAUCGGGUUGGAUGCAAGAGGAGGAAUUUAUUAUGUUUUUAAGUCACAUUGUUUCUCAUACAAGAUGUAGCCAAAAAUUUAAAAUUUUACUAAUUUUGGAUAAUCAUAUAUCCCACCAAUCAUAUAAUGCGAUUCAAUAUUGUAUAGAUAAUGGUAUAAUACUUUUAUCUCUUCCUCCACACUGUACUCAUAAAUUGCAACCCUUCGACAGGACAGUCUAUGGGCCUUUAAAAAAAUUUUAUAAUAAUGGGAUAGAUUCAUAAUUGCGAAAUCAUCGUGGAAUCUCUUUUUCUCUUUAUGAUAUUCCCUCUAUUGUAAAGGAUAUUUUACCUUUAGCAGCCUCUUCAAAAAAUAUUCAAAAGGGAUUUGAAUCUUGUGGAAUAUAUCCCUACAAUGAAAAUAUUUUUCGGGAGGAGGAUUUUAUUCCUUCAUCAAAUGAUGAAAGAUCGUUUAUAUUAAGAGAAAGUUCAGGACAUCCGCCUUCAAAUUCGUCAAUUAAGUUAAUUCCUAGCUCUUCUACUAAUUCUCUUCCCAACACUUUUUCUUCUAUUCCUAGCCCCUCUACUAACAUCUCAAUUAAGGAUACUAUCCCUUCAAACAAUACUCUCCCAGGUCCGUCAUUUACUCCGAUAUCAAUCUCAUCUGGUAAUUCGCAAACUAAAGGAUCAAGGAAAAAAAAGGCUGAGAUCUUUACCUCAUCCCCAUUCAAGAGGGAACUUUUAUUAAAAGAAAAGAAUAAAAAAUCAAAAAAAAAUAUUGUUAAAAAAUUAAUAAAAGAUGUGUGUAUUAUAUGUAAACAAGAUUAUAAAAAUUUUCAUAAUUUUGAGGAUUGGUUUCAAUGUCGAGUAUGUAAAGGUUGGGCGCAUGGGUCAUGUGCCAAAAAAGAUUGUUAUUUUAUAUGUUAUAAUUGUAAAUAGAAUAUUAUACAA